GACGAACGCUGGCGGCGUGCUUAACACAUGCAAGUCGAACGGUGAAGCUCCAGCUUGCUGGAGUGGAUCAGUGGCGAACGGGUGAGUAACACGUGAGCAACCUGCCCCUGACUCUGGAAUAAGCGCUGGAAACGGCGUCUAAUACUGGAUACGAGAAGGGUCCGCAUGGGCACUUUCUGGAAAGUUUUUCGGUUGGGGAUGGGCUCGCGGCCUAUCAGCUUGUUGGUGAGGUAAUGGCUCACCAAGGCGACGACGGGUAGCCGGCCUGAGAGGGCGACCGGCCACACUGGGACUGAGACACGGCCCAGACUCCUACGGGAGGCAGCAGUGGGGAAUAUUGCACAAUGGGCGAAAGCCUGAUGCAGCGACGCCGCGUGAGGGAUGACGGCCUUCGGGUUGUAAACCUCUUUCAGCAGGGAAGAAGCGAAAGUGUCGGUACCUGCAGAAGAAGCACCGGCUAACUACGUG
rnacentral:rRNA from 1 species